AGAACGAACGCUGGCGGCAUGCCUAACACAUGCAAGUCGAACGAGACCUUCGGGUCUAGUGGCGCACGGGUGCGUAACGCGUGGGAAUCUACCCUUGGGUUCGGAAUAACAGUUGGAAACGACUGCUAAUACCGGAUGAUGACGUAAGUCCAAAGAUUUAUCGCCCAGGGAUGAGCCCGCGUAGGAUUAGCUAGUUGGUGAGGUAAAGGCUCACCAAGGCGACGAUCCUUAGCUGGUCUGAGAGGAUGAUCAGCCACACUGGGACUGAGACACGGCCCAGACUCCUACGGGAGGCAGCAGUGGGGAAUAUUGGACAAUGGGCGAAAGCCUGAUCCAGCAAUGCCGCGUGAGUGAUGAAGGCCUUAGGUUGUAAAGCUCUUUUACCCGGGAAGAUAAUGACUGUAACCGGAGAAUAAGCUCCGGCUAACUCCGUAACCAGCAGCCGC
rnacentral:rRNA from 1 species